GAGUAGCUAAAUACCGGAUGAGAUCAACGGAUGAAAGCAGGGGACCUUCGGGCCUUGUGCUACUAGAGCGGCUGAUGGCAGAUUAGGUAGUUGGUGGGGUAAAGGCUUACCAAGCCUGCCGAUCGGUAGCUGGUCUGAGAGGACGACCAGCCACACUGGGACUGAGACACGGCCCAGACUCCUACGGGAGGCAGCAGUGGGGAAUUUUGGACAAUGGGCGAAAGCCUGAUCCAGCAAUGCCGCGUGCAGGAUGAAGGCCCUCGGGUUGUAAACUGCUUUUGUACGGAACGAAAAGCCUGGGGCUAAUAUCCCCGGGUCAUGACGGUACCGUAAGAAUAAGCACCGGCUAACUACCUGCCAGCAGCCGCGGUAAUACGUAGGGUGCAAGCGUUAAUCGGAAUUACUGGGCGUAAAAGCGUGCCCAGGCGGUUUUGUAAGAGAGUGGUGGAAAUCCCCGGGGCUCAACCUGGGAACUGCCAUUGUGACUGCAAGGCUAAAGUGCGGCAGAGGGGGAUGGAAUUCC
rnacentral:rRNA from 1 species